GGGAUGGGAAUCCAGGGAGCUCCAAGGGGCUCCCAGGGGCUGGGACACGACUCCAUGGGUCUGUUCUCUCCUCGUUCCCAGGUCUCCACACAGUGCAGGGGGUUUCCAGCUGUGACCUCCUGUCCAACAGAGCAUCCAUGGAUCCCACCAGUACGGCUAUGAGGGCUGGGAUUUCAUCUCCUUCCAGCUGGGAUCCAGGAGCUUUGCAGUGUCCAACAGUGCCGUCUGGAUAUCCCAGAGGUGCUGGGAAUCCAGAGGGAUCAUGGUGGAGCAGAUGAAGCAUUACCUGGGACACACCUGUGUGGAAAGGCCCCCAAAAUACAUCAGAUAUGGUCGGGAGGCUCUGGAGCACAAAGGUGAGUGACCGCCAGGGAGGCCUUGCAGGGCCUCUGACUGCUACAGUGACACUGCAGAACCUCAUGGAACCGUGGGUCAGUUGUGACAAUGUGGGUCCAAGGACACCAUGGUGGCACUACGGAACCUCAUGGAACCAAGGGGCCAUUGUGACACUGUGCUGCCUCAUGGAAUCAAGGAGACCAUUGUGAACUCGGUGACCCCAAGGAACCAAGGGUCCAUGGUGACCUUGUGCAGCCGCAGUGUCACAGAGGAGCCGCUGUGACACAGCGAGGGCACACGGAGCCCAGGGGCCAUUGUGACACAUCAGGGCUUUGUGGAACCACGAAGCCAUUGUGACAUUGCAAGGCCUCAUGGAAGCACGGGGCCAUUGUGACACUGCAGAAGCAAGGGGAACAUUGUGACACUCCAGGGCCUGAUGGAACCAAGGAGACCAUUGUGACACUGUGGGGUCCCAUGGAACCAAGGGAACAUGGAACAGGUCUGGCUGGCUGGGCCUCCUGGGGACCACCUGACCACCUUGGCAUGUUGAGGGCUGCUUCUCAUCUGCCCCUGAAGCACUGGGGCUCUGGGCUUUCCUUCCUAUGGGAGAGAACUGUCCUUCUCCUCCAGGGAACCAGGGCCAAAACUGGGAUUUCUUCUCCAAAUUUCCUUAUGUAAAAGGAUUGUUUCCAGAUGAAAUCUGCCAGGAGAGACAGGUCUGGCUGCCUUGACCACCCAAGGGUCACCUCUCAUCUGCCUUUGAAACACUGGGACCGUGUGCUUUUCUUUCUUAUGAGAAAAAAACCAUCCAUCUCCACCAGGCACCCAUGGCCAAAACUGAGGAUCUGCCUCCAGAAUUCCCUAUAUCCAAGGAUAGCUCCCAGACAGAAGCUGCCAGGACUGACAAGUCUGGCUGGCCUUGGCUUCCUGAGGGCUGGCAUUCAUGUGCCUCUGAAACACCGGGGCUCUGUUCUUUUCUUCCUAAUGUAAAUAAUUCUUCCUAUCCAGGAACCCACAGCCAAAAUUGAGAUUCCACCUCCAAAAUGCCCUGUGUCCAAGGAUAGCCCCUAGACGAAAGGUAUCAGGAGAGACAGGUCUGGCUGGCUUGGCCUAAGGGUGCCCACCUCUCAUCUUCUUCCAGAACACUUGGACUUGCACUUCUCUUUCCUAUAGGAAAAAAUCAUUCAUCCUGUCAUGGCCAAAACUGGGAUUCCACCUCCAAAACUCCCUACAUCCGAGGAUUAAUGCUUUGAGAAAUGUUUUUUGUUGAUUUAAUGACCUAUUAAACCUUUUCCCAAAGUUUCUCUUAUCUUCUAUGUUGCCAGAAAGGAUGUUUUAUUGUUUUGAGCUCCUGAGAAUCUCUUGUUGGUAUUUCUCCAGUGCAUCCAACUCAGAGGACAGAACCAAUUGUAAUUCCUUUUAAAUGUCCCAUUGAGAGAGUUUUUAGGGGAUGGGGGUCAGGGCUUGUGUGUCCUGCUGGGCACAGCCCAGGCAGGGCUUUCACAGCCCCAUCCCACACUCCAUUUCCCAGCUGGAGCCGCUGGUGCCUCUGAGUUCUGCUGCCCCAGCCCCAGGGACGCUCUCCUUGUCUGCCCAUUCCCCCAGGGUCUCUGGGCAGGGAUGGCCUCAGUGGGGGCUGCUGACAUCCUCAGCAACUUGGAGGCUGCUGCUGAAUUUUACUGCUCCAAAGGCUUCUUCAGCCUUCAGCUCCUCAGUGCAGGAAUUCAGUGCCCCAGGGCUCAUUAACAUUCAGAACACCUUAACAAGCCAAGCCCUGGGAAUCAUUUAAGUUUUCAAAUCUCUUGUGGUUGAUUACACUAUAUUUAAAAGGACAGUGAGAAAAGAUUUCUUCAGGUCCUGUUUAGUUUUUUUUACUCCUAAUAAAUUGAUGUGUGAAAUC